GAUCGGAAGAGGAAGAAAAGAGGGCCAAGGAGCAGUGGGCAUGGGGACAUGAAGGAAUGCUUAAGCCCCUCUCCAAUCCUCAAAUGAGAAUUGGAGAUGGAGUUAUGAGUUUUCCUGAUGCCUCCCAAGCCUAUUGUUCCUUGGUGCUCCUUCCUCUUCCUUUUGUCC
rfam:Oryza glumipatula chromosome 4, whole genome shotgun sequence.